CUACACGACCGUACCGCAAACCGACACUGGUGCGCGAGAUGAGUAUUCUAAGGCGCUUGAGAGAACUCAGGAGAAGGAACUCGGCAAAUUGACACCGUAACUUCGGAAGAAGGUGUGCCUUUAGUAGGUGAACCUGUACAAGGGGAGCCCAAUGAGGUUGCAAAAAAUCGGUGGCUGCGACUGUUUAAUAAAAACACAGCACUCUGCAAACACGAAAGUGGACGUAUAGGGUGUGACGCCUGCCCGGUGCUGGAAGAUUAAAUGAUGGGGUGCAAGCUCUUGAUUGAGUCCCAGUAAACGGCGGCCGUAACUAUAACGGUCCUAAGGUAGCGAAAUUCCUUGUCGGGUAAGUUCCGACCUGCACGAAUGGCGUAACGAUGGCCACACUGUCUCCUCCUGAGACUCAGCGAAGUUGAAAUGUUUGUGAUGAUGCAAUCUCCCCGCGGAAAGACGGAAAGACCCCAUGAACCUUUACUGUAGCUUUGUAUUGGACUUUGAACAGAUCUGUGUAGGAUAGGUGGGAGGCUUUGAAGUGUGGUCGCUAGAUCGCAUGGAGCCAACGUUGAAAUACCACCCUGGUGUGUUUGAGGUUCUAACCUAGGCCCGUAAUCCGGGUCGGGGACAGUGCAUGGUAGGCAGUUUGACUGGGGCGGUCUCCUCCCAAAGCGUAACGGAGGAGUUCGAAGGUACGCUAGGUACGGUCGGACAUCGUGCUAAUAGUGCAAUGGCAUAAGCGUGCUUAACUGCGAGACUGACAAGUCGAGCAGAUGCGAAAGCAGGACAUAGUGAUCCGGUGGUUCUGUAUGGAAGGGCCAUCGCUCAACGGAUAAAAGGUACUCUGGGGAUAACAGGCUGAUACCGCCCAAGAGUUCAUAUCGACGGCGGUGUUUGGCACCUCGAUGUCGGCUCAUCUCAUCCUGGGGCUGUAGCCGGUCCCAAGGGUAUGGCUGUUCGCCAUUUAAAGAGGUACGUGAGCUGGGUUUAAAACGUCGUGAGACAGUUUGGUCCCUAUCUUCCGUGGGCGCUGCAGAUUUGAGGAAGCCUGCUCCUAGUACGAGAGGACCGGAGUGGACACACCUCUGGUGUAUCGGUUGUCACGCCAGUGGCAUUGCCGAGUAGCUAUGUGUGGAAGAGAUAACCGCUGAAAGCAUCUAAGCGGGAAACUCGUUUCAAGAUGAGAUCUGCCGGGGCCUUGAGCCCCCUAAAGAGUCGUUCAAGACCAGGACGUUGAUAGGUCGGGUGUGGAAGCGCAGUAAUGCGUUAAGCUAACCGAUACUAAUUGCUCGUGCGGCUUGACCCC
rnacentral:rRNA from 1 species